rnacentral:sRNA from 1 species
CAAACCGUAGGACAUCUGAGGGAGUAGAAAACCAAAGCAUUCAGGCAGUUCCCACCAAGAGGUGAGGGGCAGUGAAUAUGACUGGUUCAUACUGACUGAGCAAGAGACGGAGGUGAAAGUGGUGUAAUAGUCCUUGGCCUUCUGGAACUCAGUCUCACUGAGUGUGUUCAGAAAGUGAAAAACUGUGUGAGGCAGAACAGGUCUAGUGAGCCGAGGGACAGAGAUUCACAUCUGUAACAGCUCGGAGGGAAAAGGUCUCUGCGGCCAAAGUCAUGGCUUCGUUACACAGGCAGAUUAAUGUUAGCAGCCACAGUGUUUGUCAGGAUAGUGUACGUGUGAAAGCAUGGGUCUGCAGUCUAUAUGUGUGGCCACAUUCUUCCUCACCACAACUCUGAAAUCAGCAACAGUCCGCUCAGCUUAAAGGGUUUUAGGUCACCCUGGGAGCGAUGGUGGGGUUGGGCUUUCCUUCUGACCAUAGUACUGCCUGAUUUGGACCCGGGAACUCCAGCCCAUGCUGUCCCUCUGCAGACUUUAUGAACCAGUGCUUACCCUCUGGGAAGGUGAACGGGGCCAAGGGUGCCUACCGUAUGCCUGCCCUUAAAGACUAAAGGGUGGGCCGUUCCUUGAAGGAAAGCUGCCCAAGGAAUUUGUGCUGUAAUCUGUAUAGCAGAACAUUUUUCUGACAUGAGAAGAGCUUAGCUGGGCUCGUGGUACACCUGUAAUCCCAACUAGGAAGGCAAGGGUCAGAAGUUCAAGGCCAGCCUGGACUGUACACUAUUUGAGUUCAGGCUGGUUAUGUAGACAAAGGAAAGGGUGUUGGGGGAAGGGGUGUCUAAGAUACGUGGGGAGGCAAAGAUACAUGCAGAACAAUGUGUAACAUUUUUUGUUAAUUUGUGUGUAAAAACAAAACUUUUUGCCUUUUUCUUUGUCUACACUUAGAGGCUCUGAUCCUAGCACUCCAGAGUGACACCAUUUUGAAGGGAAGGUUUUCUCACGUCUUGUACUGAAUGUGUCUGUGCAAGUACUUGCCAGGCUUGUUAUGGAAAUGCGCCUCUAAAGGGACAGACACCCUUUGGUAGGCUGGCAGGUGAGAAGGGCAUUAGCCGUGGUUUCCUCUGGGAAGAGGGUGGACACAGUUGGCAGAGGCCGCUUCUAAGCCUUGGCAACUGAACAGGCUUGCUUUUACUCUCACCCCGCUUCUUAGCAAGCUUGUUCCAUUUCACUCAAAUGCCCCUUCAGGACAGCUAAGCUGAGAACAAAGGCAGCAGGGCCUCCCUUCUGUGCUGCUCUCUGGCUUUCUCAGCGUCUUUCCCUUUUCUCACCCCUGGGUAAACUGCAACCAGCACAGCACCUAGUACUCAUUUCUCCUCAUCUCUACAAUAGUCCUGCAGAUCCAUACCCCUGCCUCUUGGUCCUGAUGACAGCCUUGGCAACCCAAGGUCAUCAUACUUUGAUCUCCUUAGACCAGCACUGAGAUGCUUUGCUCAACAAAAUACCUGCCCUCGAACACAAGGAAGGGUCUUCCUUACAGCAGGCACGGAGGAAGGGGCGUCACUGCCACCAUCGUCCAAAUGUCUCAGUGUGACACUAGUAUGUACUCACAGGCUCAUGGAUGCCCUGGAGGCCUUCAGGUAUAGGGCUUCUCAACAUGUGUUGGGUAAUUAGCCCCUUUGAGCAUCUUAAGGUUAUCAGGGGCCGUGUCUCAAAGGGAAAGAUGCUAUUCUUUUUUCUUUUCUUUUUUUUUUCUUUUUUGGUUCUUUUUUUCAGAGCUGGGGACCAAACCCAGGGCCUUGUGCUUCCUAGGCAAGCGCUCUACCACUGAGCUAAAUCCCCAACGAAAGAUGCUAUUCUUUAGGGAAGCAGGACAAAAGGUAUUCUCUUGCCCUCCCACAACAUAUGUCAUGGACAAUGUAUAAAUGACAGGUCUGGGGCCGAAGGUUUGGGUUUGAGCGCUUGCUUAGCAUGCAGGGAACUCUGGGUUGAGCUCCUGAUGCUUCAUAAUUAUUAGAUUCACAUUGGCUUCCUUUUGUUUUCCUUAUAUUCCAGACAGAGGAUUGAUUUUUAAAUCCAUGUGUAGGUGUGUUACAUUAUCUGUAAAUUUCAUUUCAGAAUAGCAAUGGGGACAGUAGACACUAUUUAUAAGAAGGAAAUGUUGGUUCUUAGAUUCAGAACCACUUCUCUGAGGAGUCCAUGGACCCCAGAAGGAAAUCUGCUCUGCCCACGUCUCUCGUAUUAUGGCAAAGGGAAACAAAGUCCGUUCUUUAAAGGUACUUGGAUUCCUAGCACUUUGGAAGAGUCAGUGACAAAGCUUGACAUUUUCAGCAAUAGGUACUGGUGCCCAGCUGGCCUCUUCUCCCUGGUGCUGUCCGACCUCUUCCUACAGCAUUUGAGAUCUUCCUAACUAUACUGUAUCCUCCCACUCAAAGCCCAGACUUUUCUUCACUCUUUCCAUCCCUAGUCGAACAUUUAACACAGUAGGCUCGCACUCAGAAAGUGAUUGGGAAGAAAAGGUGAGACCCAUCCAAAGGUUUAAUAUACCUGAACACAGGCCAGAGAAGCCCAGGAAGAUUGCGUUCAUACUAUUUGAAGCUGACAUAGCCAGAGGCUUGAUUGUCUAUGGGGUGGCAAUGCUGCACUGUACAGGGGUUAUCUGGCCUUCAGAAGCACUUCCCUCCCACAGGUAAGCUUUUACCUAAUCCAUGAUCUCAACAACCUACUUCCAAAUGACACCCGACCCCACCUCUCCUACCUCGCUGCCUCUCCAUCUGGGAAGGAGAACUUUAUGCCUCGACCUGACUCUGCUCCUCCAGCAAAUACACAGGUCGCAGACAGAUUCAGAAACCCGAGGCUGCUGUCAUCAUGGCGACUGACCAGCUCCACAACCUCAGGAACCUGCUUCAUCCGAGCUGCCUGCUGAGGACUGUGAAGACAGCAAAAUGGACGGAGGGAAAUACCAGCCUGGCACCGUCCCUGAAUACCAGAAACCACUCUAACGAUGGAGACCAUUCAGCAGACUAUAAGCCAGCAGCUCCAGGCCAGGCACUAGCCUGUAUCCUCUGCACAGAUGACUGGAACCCUGACCGCCCUGUGGCUCCACCCUCAGUGGGCUCCUCCUACUCUGCCUGCACUUGAACUUGGAUAUCCCAGGGAGUUCCCUUCAGACUCCUGCAUGCUCAGCAUAGGUAAGUCUUGCAUGGCCAGCCUCAGGGUUCCACACUCGUCCUAAGAGUUGUCACUCUGGCUGAAUAUUACUAUCCAUUCAUGCUUUUAACUUCCGUGCCGCCUGUUGAAUUCUGAUGUUUUGCUUUCUAGGUAAGCUGUAAGUCCAGCCAGUCUUUCCUCCUUUUUCCCUGAGGCCGCUGCCUCAGUUUACCCCAUCUCUUACCUGGGCAACAGCAUGGCGUGCGAACCAGCCUCUGGCUGUCAUGGCCUUGUUGGUAAGUACAAGCCAGUUGAAACUCUGACUGUGGUGCUCUCUGCCAAGCACUUCUCUGGUUCUCAGGGCCUAAAGAGUCAUGCUCUAGCCUCUCAACCUGGUGUCCUGGUAUCCAUGUGGCCUGGCUCCGGCUCCCUCUCCAGCCUCACCUCUUGCUGCCCCGGGCCUCAUAGCCUUUACUCAGUGCUCCUCUUUCUGCUUUGUUUCAUGUGACCAGCUCAAUCCUGCUGCCGUAUGGCGCUUGGGUGGACAUGGCUCUCAUCUCAACUCUGGGGGGAUGGGUGUUGCGCCUAGGUGUGACGGUGCCCCGUGGCUUCCUUUGUUCCAUGUACCACGUUUCUCUUCCCUGAGAGCUAGCCAAGGGACUCUGUCUUAAUAAUCUUGGCAGCCUCACACCUCGUCCUGGAUCUAGCACAGAAAAGGUACUUGCCCUAAAAUGAUCUCCGUGGCACCGUCUUGAUGCUCUUUCUAGUGCCUUCUGGUUUGUUCCAUAGCCUCUUCUCUGCAGUCCUCGCUCCCCUUAGGGCUAAGCACUGGGAUUCUAUUCAUCUCUGAUUGCAUGGUAAGCCCAGUGCUUGCUUCUCAAGUUACGCGAGAAAAAGGUGUCCUUAUGAAACCAGGAAGGCACAGACUGUCUCUACUUAUCCCUGUAUCCCAACUACUCCUAAAGCAGAAGGCAGCCCCAGAGGCUGAGGCAUACCUCUAAAGCAGACCUGACUCAGACCACACACCCUGCAGUUUGGGC